rnacentral:rRNA from 1 species
GUUCCUACGGGAGGCAGCAGUAGGGAAUCUUCCACAAUGGACGAAAGUCUGAUGGAGCAACGCCGCGUGAGUGAAGAAGGGUUUCGGCUCGUAAAGCUCUGUUGGUAGUGAAGAAAGAUAGGGGUAGUAACUGGCCUUUAUUUGACGGUAAUUACUUAGAAAGUCACGGCUAACUACGUGCCAGCAGCCGCGGUAAUACGUAGGUGGCAAGCGUUGGCCGGAUUUAUUGGGCGUAAAGCGAGGGCAGGGGGUUCAAUAA